rnacentral:lncRNA from 1 species
AAAAAAAAAAAGACAAAAAAUUAUAUAAGAAGAAAGAAGAUGAUGAAAUUACACUAUUAAAAUAAAAUUAUAUUGUUUUAAAAUAAAUUUGUACUGUUUUAAUAAACUAGCACUAUUUGAUAUAAAAAUUAUACUAUUUUGGAAUGGAUUUUACACUAUUAAGACUAACGUUACACUAUUUAGAAAAAUUUUACACAAUUUCUUUUCUUUUUCUUUUUCUCUUUCUCUUCUUCUUCUUCCGCUGCUGCCUCCCGCCCGACCCGCGAAGGCGCG